rnacentral:miRNA from 1 species
UGUGGGUGUCCGUUGCGGUGCUA